ensembl:lncRNA
GGCGUGUGUGUGUGUGUGUGUGGGGGGGGGUGUUGGUUUAGGGUCUUCUUGAGCCUCUCUGUCCUUGCCCGGAUGAUGCGGAACCUUCUACCAGAUUGUAGAAGUUGGAACAGUUUGUUGCCAGGAUGGGACGGGUCCUUCAGUAUCUGCGCUGCUCUAGUCCGGCAUCUCCUGGUGUAGGUGUCCUGAAGUGGGGGAGAGCAAUCCUGCAGCAGCGUUCUGCUGUACGGAUCACUCUCUGGAGAGCUUUUUGGUCCUUCACACAGCUGUUCCCGAACCACGCUGUCAUGUUCUGUGUGAGGAUGCUCUCCACAGCGCCUGUAUAGAAGAUCCUGAGGAUCUUUGGAGAGACCCUGAACUUCCUUAGUUGUCAGAGGUGAUACAGGCGCUGCCUAGCCUUCUUGGUCUGGACCUGAAUGUGGGCAGCCCCACAGAGAGGCGUCGUCAUGUUAGUUUGCCUAAAUUUUCAAAAGCAGCCAGCGGCUCACCGAAACACACAGGUGUUGUCAUGUCGACUUAGUUUGUCACAAACUGUUGUUGUGGAUUUAUGCUCAUUUGGUGUUUAAAACAGCAACAGGACAAAAGAGUUUAAAUCAACUGCAGUGAUGAUGCUCAUAAAGAAGUCGGCAGUGUGUCAGUAUGGUACCGACUCACUGUGAUGCCUUCAUUAUAUCAAGCCUUAAAUAAUCAGGCAAUGCUUAAGUGUUAUGAAAGUUUGAUUAAGUCGCCUCAGUAAUGAAUUCCUGUUUUGUCUCAUUUUAUCAGAGUAGGUGUUUUAUGAUUGUUUGGACAUGAACGUUUGAGCUCUCGGGUGAAAAACACAUUUUAAAUGACCUGAUAUGAUACAUGUUAACAAAUGAGGAAAACAUUUCUCACACCAUCAUUUUAGUGUUUAUUCAGAGUAGACAGUAACACCAGCAGAAUCACGGUCGUCUGUCUCUGUGAAGAUUCAUGUUUCAACAUUUUUAGCAUCACGGGUCUUCUAUCAGUUUUGCUGCAGCUGUAUUGUUGUGAUGAACAACCUAUAAAGUGUAAAGAGAAAUAAAAAAAUGUAAACGAAUUGCCACAUAUUCUCUCUUCUCUUGUCAGUGCUGUUCCAGAUUAAAUGCUGCUGUCCGACAGUAUAAAAGCUGUGCUGAUGGUGUUUUACCUCUGUGGCAUUUCCAGCAUGAGUAGCAUUAUUUGGAUGCAAGGUCUCGUUCUGAAAUGUGUUGGAUUAUAUUAGUUACAGAUCUUUAAACUUGACCUUUCCCCCAACAUCUAAUUAAAAUAUAACCUGCACAAAAAACCAAAUAAUUUUAUACAUUUUUAUCAUUCUACACCUUACACAUGGACAUAUAAAUAUUGCUUAUUUUUGUGGUGUUUACUUACAUGAGGUGGAGCAGUUGGAAAAGCGGCAGGGUUUUCAAGAGGAUGCCAGUUGCCAGCUUUCUAAAAGAAAAAAUUAAACACACACACAUUUAUAUAUAAUAUUAUAUAAUUUUAUAAUUACUGGUGAAUAACGCCACUCGUGGCAACAGGUUGUGUUUUUGUUUUUUUAACUUACAUCCAAUGGUGGUGCUGCGCCUCCUUCAUGCAGCUGAAAAGAAAGAAAAUGGAUAACGCUUUAAUAGAAUAUCAAUAUACACAUUUUAGUGUUGGAGGUUUUUAUUUUUGCCUUUUUUCCCCUCAGUGCUGGAAGGUCAUUGACAUUUCAAAGCAAACAAAGCAACAUUAAUCAGUUGAUCUCAGAGUCAGCAGCAUGAGACACACUCCAGCUGAUUCUUGGUAAAAAAAAUAAAUAAAUAAAUUAAAAUCAUACUGGACUCUAACUUAAACAGCAGUUAAACAACAGUCCUACCAUAUUAAAGAUGAAAUCUAAACAUUUAUGUAGAUUAUCACUUGUUAUAAGCUCAGUGAGAUUGUUAAUUCUUUUUAAUCAUUUAAUUUCUUCCUUUCAGUAAAUCCAUUAACAUCAAACAGUGACAUGAUAUUUUCUUACCGACGCUGUGAGAAUAAAUCCCACCAAACAGAGCAGGUGCCCGAGGGCGAGCGUCUGGUGGCCGGGCCUUAGUCCAUGGGGCCCGGCCGGGCACAGCCCGAAGAGGAGACAUGGGCCCAUCCUCCCGCAGGCCCACCACCCGCAGGAGGCGCCAUAGGGGUUGGGUGCAUUGUGUGUCGGGCGGCGGCCAGGAGCGGAGGCCCUGGCGGACCGAUCCCCGGCUGCCAAGACUGGCAAUAGGGACAUGGAAUGUCACCUACGGCCAAAUUAAAAUAUAAAAUUAUAAGACAUAAAUAGUGGUCAUGUUUCUGGUGCUGUACCUCUGCAGUACUUACGCUUGUUGGUUCAGUUGGAAAAGAAAGAGGAUUUUCGAGAGGGUGCCAGUGUGCGGUCUAAAAUAGAAAAUAUAUACAAUAAACUAAUAAGAAGCUUGAGCUUGCUCUUUUACAAAUAUCCUUUCAAGUGUGAAAAGAGACAAAAAUAAGUACAGGCAGAAGUUGACACAAAGAAGAAAGAAAUUGUAACAUUUUGCUUCUUCUUUUUGGAUUCUGAGAACUGAAACUGAAUAUGUAAAUUAUGUGAUAAAGGUUUAAAACUAACAAUAGUAACCUCUGUGUGCAGCUGUUUCAUCAUCUGUACUCUAACUACGUAAAACUGAAUCGUUUCUGUCAAAUAAUGACUUUACAUAAUUUUAACACACACAGAAACAUAAAUUACACAGUGACACAGCCAAAAAAGUCAUUAUAUUUGCUUUUGUUUUGAUCAUUUGAGACGCUGUAAAUAGGUGAUUUUUACAACGAAGCAUAACAGUUAAGGUACACAAAAUAACUUUUUUAUUUAUGGCUUCUUUAGUCGUGCAUAAUAGUACUUGUUUUAAAAGUUACAAAAAACACUUUUUGCAAACAAAACAGCAAAGUAAUUAUUCAUCGAAUCUUAGAGGCUCAGCAGCAUGAGCCACACUCCAGCCGAUUCUUAGUGAAAAAAUAUAUUUAAGUCAAGCUUGUGUUUCCAUCUGGUCCAAAAAUUAUAAAACUACAAAAAUCUAAAUAUAUAUGCAUUUAAUUUUUUCUGUUCAGUAACUCUGUGAACAUCCAUCAGUGAUAUGAGUGUCUCUGUGAUGCUGUGAGAAUACAGCAGUGCGAGUCAGGUUAUUUUGUAUUAAUGGUGUAAAUUUGUAAAAGCAGGGAGCAGCUCCCUGUAACACACAGGUGCUGUCAUGUCGAGUUAGUUUGUCACAAACCGUUUUUGUGGAUUUGGUGUUUAAAACAGCAAAAGGACAAAAGAUGGGAAUUUAGAUCAACCACAGUGAUGAUACUCAUGAAGAAGCAAGACAGCAGAGUGUCAGUGUGGCACCGACUCAUUUUGUCAGAAUAGGUGUUUUAUGUGUGUUUGGACAUGAACGUUUAAGCUCUUAAAUGUGUUUAAAAAACACAUUUUAAAUGAUCCUAUAGGAUACAUGUUAACAAAUAAGAAAAUCUUUUUCUCAAAACAUCAUUUUAGUGUUUAUUCAGAGUAGACAGUAACACCAGCAGAAUCACGGUCGUCUGUCUCUGUGAAGAUUCAUGUUUCCACAUUUUUAGCAUCACACGUCUU